AUCAAGUUGGUGGAAGGCUGGUUAAACCGUUUGGUUUUCGACCACUACGACCUGGGUUCGAUUCCCACAUUAGACA
rnacentral:tRNA from 1 species